AUUGAACGCUGGCGGCAUGCCUUACACAUGCAAGUCGAACGGUAACGGGCCUUCGGGUGCCGACGAGUGGCGAACGGGUGAGUAAUACAUCGGAACGUGCCCGAUCGUGGGGGAUAACGAGGCGAAAGCUUUACUAAUACCGCAUACGAUCUACGGAUGAAAGCAGGGGACCGCAAGGCCUUGCGCGGACGGAGCGGCCGAUGGCAGAUUAGGUAGUUGGUGGGAUAAAAGCUUACCAAGCCGACGAUCUGUAGCUGGUCUGAGAGGAUGAUCAGCCACACUGGGACUGAGACACGGCCCAGACUCCUACGGGAGGCAGCAGUGGGGAAUUUUGGACAAUGGGCGCAAGCCUGAUCCAGCCAUGCCGCGUGCAGGAUGAAGGCCUUCGGGUUGUAAACUGCUUUUGUACGGAACGAAAAGCCUUCUUUUAAUACAGGAGGGUCAUGACGGUACCGUAAGAAUAAGCACCGGCUAACUACGUG
rnacentral:rRNA from 1 species